rnacentral:rRNA from 1 species
UACGUAGGUGGCAAGCGUUGUCCGGAAUUAUUGGGCGUAAAGCGCGCGCAGGCGGUCCUUUAAGUCUGAUGUGAAAGCCCACGGCUCAACCGUGGAGGGUCAUUGGAAACUGGGGGACUUGAGUGCAGAAGAGGAAAGUGGAAUUCCAAGUGUAGCGGUGAAAUGCGUAGAGAUUUGGAGGAACACCAGUGGCGAAGGCGACUUUCUGGUCUGUAACUGACGCUGAGGCGCGAAAGCGUGGGGAGCAAACAGGAUUAGAUACCCUGGUAGUCCACGCCGUAAACGAUGAGUGCUAAGUGUUAGGGGGUUUCCGCCCCUUAGUGCUGCAGCUAACGCAUUAAGCACUCCGCCUGGGGAGUACGGUCGCAAGACUGAA